rnacentral:rRNA from 1 species
UAAGUGGAGAGUUUGAUCCUGGCUCAGAACGAACGCUGGCGGCGUGCUUAACACAUGCAAGUCGAGCGAGAAAGGGGGGGCAACCCCCUGAGUAGAGCGGCGCACGGGUGAGUAACGCGUGGGUAA